UGUAUGACCGUCUCCAUGACAUGUGAAACAUUAAGAAAUUUUGCUUGGAUAUUUAAACUUUAAAAGAGAAUUUUUAAUGUUAUAAUUUUUUGCUAGUAUAUAAAAAAAUUAAAAAGAUAUGAAUCCUCUUUGGGCUGUCAUUUGGUUUCUCGUCCUUUGGUUCAUUGGCUGGCCAGUUGGUUUCUUUUGUGCAUAUUGGUAUGUCUGCUGUCUUCCCUUCGAAGUUUGCAUAGAUCCUUUGAAACAGCUAAAUGAGUUUCUCUUCAAAGGUGUGAAGCUUCCCUAUGAAUGCGCUGUACGUAUGAAAGAAGGUAAAGCUGGAUGGUGAUGGUCUUACAUCAAGUUGUAGCACAGCACUUUUGACAUAACACUUCAUGUAAAAUAAACACGAAAGAUAUAAAUAAAACAUGUUUUUAACACAA